UACAUGUGGGGCAAGCGUUGUUCGGAAUUACUGGGCAUAAAGGGUGCGUAGGCGGUUUGUUAAGUCACUGGUGAAAGUUUUCGGCCCAACCGGAAAAUUGCCUGAUGAUACUGGCGAACUUGAGUGCGGUGAGGGGUGGGGGGAACGAGCAGUGGUAGCGGUGAAAUGCGUAGAUAUUGCUCGGAAGGCCGGAGCCGAAGGGGCCCCACUGGUA
rnacentral:rRNA from 1 species